AGCAGCCGCGGUAAUUCCAGCUCCAAUAGCGUAUAUUAAAGUUGUUGCAGUUAAAAAGCUCGUAGUUGAAUUUUAGGCCUGACCGGGCGGUCCGUCUCUGGCGAGUACUGUUCUGUUGUCGGGUCUAUCCUUCUGGUGAGCCGGUAUGUCCUUUAUUGGGUGUGUCGGGGAACCAGGACCAUUACCUUGAAAAAAUUAGAGUGUUUAAAGCGGGCUUUUGCUUGAAUAGAUUAGCAUGGAAUAAUAGAAUAGGACGUUGGUUCUAUUUUGUUGGUCUAGGACCACCGUAAUGAUUAAUAGGGAUAGUUGGGGGCAUUAGUAUUCAAUUGUCAGAGGUGAAAUUCUUGGAUUUAUUGAAGACUAACUACUGCGAAAGCAUUUGCCAGGAUGUUUUCAUUAAUCAAGAACGAAAGUUAGGGAUCGAAGACGAUCAGAUACCGUCGUAGUCUUAACCGUAAACUAUGCCGACUAGGAAUCGGGNGACGUUAUUUUCAUGACUCGCUCGGCGCCUUAUGGGAAA
rnacentral:rRNA from 1 species